rfam:Candidate division WWE3 bacterium GW2011_GWB1_41_6 TT72_C0049, whole genome shotgun sequence.
UAUUACACUACUUCAAGACCAAAGACAGCAAGGGCCGAACGUCCACGAGGGGCCAAUCCCCGUAACGUGCGUUCACAGCUUAAUCAUCUUGCCGAGGAACAAACCCGAGGAAUGUACAGAAAUCAGGCUAUGAGACUUUGAGUCCCAUAAGCCCACGUUUUUCUCCAUAUCCCCGACUAUUACCCCGCGUCUUUGCGGGUUUUUUGUUUCUUUU